ACGGAGAUCCGGUUUAGUGUGGUUUGAUGGAUCAAGCUUUGAAAUUGGGGCAAAAAGAAAACCAAAAUUUCUCACUUGUUCCUUGUUAGAGAGAGAAAGAGAGAGAUCGCCGGAGAUGGGUUACGGAUGGGCGAUCUUCGAGGGGAUACUGGUCAUGGGAUCUCUGUGUCUGUUAGGAUCGGCGGGUCUCUGGUUUCUCAAUCGGAGGCUUUACAAGGAGUAUGAAGAGAAGCGAGCCUUGGUUCAAAUCAUUUUCAGCAUCGUCUUCGCCUUCUCUUGCAACCUCUUGCAGCUCGUUCUCUUCGAAAUCAUUCCUGUUUUAUCUAGAGAGGCAAGGAUGGUAAACUGGAAGGUGGAUCUCUUCUGUUUGAUACUGCUCCUUGUUUUCAUGUUACCCUAUUAUCAUUGCUAUUUGAUGCUUCGCAAUACUGGUGUUAGAAGGGAACGUGCUGCUGUUGGGGCCUUUUUAUUCUUGACCGCCUUCCUUUAUGCUUUCUGGCGCAGGGGAAUUCAUUUUCCUAUGCCUUCAGACAAAGGUUUUUUUUCAAUGCCUCAACUGGUCAGCAGAAUCGGGGUCAUUGGUGUCACCCUCAUGGCCGUCUUAUCGGGUUUUGGAGCUGUAAAUUUGCCUUACAGUUAUAUUUCUCUCUUCAUUAGGGAGAUUGAAGAAUCAGAAAUAAAAUCGCUGGAAAGGCAACUGAUGCAAUCAAUUGAGACUUGCAUAGCUAAGAAGAAGAAAAUUAUCUUAUGUCAAGUGGAGGUGGAACGAAGUCAAGUGUCAGAAGAACAUCAAAAGGGUAGGUCUUUCCUUAGAAGAUUUGUCGGAACUGUGGUGCGGUCGGUUCAAGAUGACCAAAAGGAGCAAGAUAUCAAACUAGUGGAGGCGGAGGUUGAAGGUCUAGAAGAGCUGUCAAAGCAGCUAUUCUUGGAAAUUUAUGAACUCCGCCAAGCAAAGGAUGCUGCUGCUUUUUCUCGAACUUGGAAGGGUCAUGUGCAGAACUUACUUGGCUAUGCGUGUUCCAUCUACUGUGUGUAUAAGAUGUUAAAGUCUCUACAGAGUGUCGUUUUCAAGGAGGCGGGCACAAAAGAUCCUGUCACGAUGAUGAUCAGUAUAUUCUUGCAGUUUUUUGAUAUAGGAGUAGAUGCUGCAUUGCUCUCACAGUAUAUUUCCCUGUUGUUUAUUGGGAUGUUGAUCGUGAUAUCAGUGAGGGGAUUCUUGACGAAUCUGAUGAAGUUCUUCUUUGCAGUGUCGAGGGUAGGGAGUGGAUCUUCAAGCAAUGUUGUGCUUUUCCUAUCGGAAAUCAUGGGAAUGUACUUUUUGUCUUCCAUUCUUCUUAUAAGAAAAAGCUUGAGAAAUGAGUACAGAGGGAUAAUAACAGAUGUAUUAGGCGGAGAUAUUCAGUUUGAUUUCUAUCAUCGAUGGUUUGAUGCAAUAUUCGUGGCCAGCGCUUUUCUUUCUCUGCUUUUGCUUUCUGCACACUACACAUCUCGUCAAAUGGAUAAGCACCCAGUUGACUAAGCAAAGAAAGCAAGCAUCAGUAAGUUCCCUUGCAUUCAGUUUUUCAUAUAGAAGAAAGUAGUUGAAUCAAUUACUACGAGUUUAGCAUUGGCUUAUGUACAUUUCUAUUUGCUUCGUGAUUAGUUGUAAAGAGAAUGAGAUUUAUAUGGAGAGUCCCGGAAAUCCUAAUGGUACUUUAGGAGGUAAUAAAAAAAAAAAAAAAGGAAGAAAAAGGAAAAUGAGUAGUGUGGCCACAAUGAUUGCAUGUGGGCAUUGACUGGAAAACACGUUUUCAUGUUGGUUCAGUUUGAGAUACUGAGAGUUAUUGUGGUAGAGAGAAAGUUGGUACGUGUGUUUGUUAGGUUCAAAUGUCGACUCAACGGCGCUUUUGAUCGAAUCACAUUAAUAUCCAUCCAGGGAUAGAAUUCUCAGAA